CCUGAUAGCCUGGGCGCGCCGUGGCCGGCGGUAAUGCAAGCUUGGUGCAGCUAGCUUCUGGUGGAUUUGUUUUCAUCGACUGAAAACGGCGGCUCCGGCACUCGGCUGUGUGUUCGCGCGCAGGAAUUUUAAGGAUUUAUGGGCACUGCUUAUCCACCAGAUCCUUCCGUAGGCAAGGAUGUAAGAAUAGUGCAAUUUUCGCCAAUUCUGUCUGUAAUAUUUUGCAAUUGGAUGUACUUUCCGACCUUUUUUUACAUCCAAGAAAUGGUAAAGUCUGAGAUGUAUUUUUCUGCAACUAUGGAUAAAACGUAUGUAUCUGGAUGUAAUUUUUGUCAUUUUUGUACAUCCAGAAUGCUGGAUGGAUCAAGGUGUAAAACACUUAUUUUGUGAUCAAAUUAUUUUUGUGCUUCUAGAUGUAA